rnacentral:rRNA from 1 species
AAGUCUGGUGCCAGCAGCCGCGGUAACUUCAGCUCCAAUAGCGUAUAUUAACAUUGUUGCAUUUAAAAAGCUCGUAGUUGAAUUUAUUUUUAUAAAUUUUAUAUAAGUAGUAUUAUUUUAUAAUAAAACUAUUUAAAUUUAUUUUUUAUAAUUUUAUUAUAUAUUAAACGGUAAUAUUAUUUAUAAUUUAUAAAAAAAUUUUAUGUUAUAUUAUUUAGUAAUAGAUAAUAUAAUAUAAAUAUUACUGUGAAAAAAUUAGAGUGUUUAAAGCAUGUAUAUAAAAUUAAAAAAUAUAUUUUCUGAAUAUAUUUUUUUAGCUUGAAUAUAUUAGCAUGGAAUAAUAAUAUUAUAAUAUUUUUAUAUUAUUUUGUUGGUUAAAUAUAAAAAUAUAUGAUUAAUAGGGACAAUUGGGGGUAUUUAUAUUUCAUAGUCAGAGGUGAAAUUCUGGGAUUUAUGAAAGAUAACAAAUGCGAAAGCAUUUACCAAAAAUGUUUUCAUUAAUCAAGAACGAAAGUUAGGGGAUCAAAGAGGCUUAGAUACCCUCGUAG